CUCGACUACAUGAAGCUGGAAUCGCUAGCAAUCGCAGAUCAGAAUGCUGCGGUGAAUACGUUCCCGGGUCUUGUACACACCGCCCGUCACACCAUGGGAGUCGGAAAUGCCCGAAGCCGGUGACCAAACCAAUAAGGAAGGAGCCGUCGAAGGCAGGUCUGAUAACUGGGGUGAAGUCGUAACAAGGUAGC
rnacentral:rRNA from 1 species